rnacentral:tRNA from 1 species
GCUCGAUUAGCUCAGUUGGAUAGAGCGUCAACCUCCUAAGUUGAAUGUCGCAGGUUCGACUCCUGCAUCGAGCGCCA